ACCUACCCAAAUGCAGGAAAUAACCCCGAGUUUUCUGAAUCUCAAACCCACUAUCUUUGCUAACACCCUUCCUGCCUUCCAAUAAAAAAGACAGGAUAUAAGAACUGGGAGGAGAGCUAAGAACGUGAAAUUAAUCUUCCCAUGUAGCUUAUAGAAUUUAUUUACUUAAUUAAUUGAGGAGCUCAACACUUUUAGCAAAAGGAAAAAUUAGGAAGCAAAAAGUCAGUGAUAAUCUAGAAUAUUUUAAAGGAAUUAUCAAAGACUACGGGGAAAAUCACAACAAUUGAUGAAUAGAAGUAGAUAUAGUACUAAGUUCAAAACUCAGAUCUCUGGCUCUGUGUCUUGGACGCCUGGUGACUGAAAGGAAAGGAUGAGUGUUAGAGGGCUGAUGUACAAAGGAAACACACCAUUCAGAUACAGAUUGAAUAUAUAGGUUUACAGAGCUUGAUGACUAAAAGAUGGUACAUAAUAGCGAGACUGAGCUGAAGAUGUUUGCAUUGCCUGGACUGUGUGAAAGAUGUUACGGAGAAAGGCUUAAAGUUUUGCCUGUGGUGUCUUAGAAAUGUUGGCAGACACCGUGAUAAAAUAACAGAAACAGAGUGAUCACUAGGAUGGCAGAGGAAAAAAAACAGAUUUGAGAGAGGCUAAGGCUAGCAGUGAAUAGCUACUAUCCUUCCCCAGUUGGGUUUUGGUUACACACGGUCUUUCAGGGCACCUGUUUGAGUGCUUAACCACCCUCCCUGUGAUCAAAUGCGAGCCUCUACAGAGCUGUGUUAGAUGCUGGAGAAGGGCACAAUUGUUUAGAUCUAAAAGGAUUCUGUUUGGAGGCUUUCUUUGGCUUUGCAAAAAUGCACAACCAAAUUCAAUAAAGACGCUGUUGAUUUUGGUGAAAGCAGAGUUAGUCUUACGCUUUGUGGUUUUGAAAAUUCUGCCCAUUGAUGACAAUUGAAACUACUCUGAAUAUUAACUGUGAUGGAAAAAAUGCAUAGGUACUAAUAUCUGAGACUGGGAGUUACAACUUAUAACUCCGUAAUGAGAUGUACUUCUGUAGGUGCCAGACCUGCUUGGUUUUCUCACCUCUGUGCUGCACACCCAAGAGUGACACCCUGCCUCGGGCAAGGCAGAGAUACUUUCUUGUCAAAGAGUGUCUCAGGGAGCCACAAAACAAUGAAUCAAUGGAUUGAACGUCACAAGCACGCCACGAGCAUUCAAAGUGUGUAGCAGGUUUCCAGCUGACCAGCAACCGAAGGCUGCAGCCUUCUCUCUGGUCAGCCAUUAAGCUAACACUGGGAUGUGGUCACUGAAGGUUCACUGCAUCCUAAAAGGAGAUAAGUGUCUGAUGCAAAGAAGAGACAAAGAACAAAGAGUUCAAACAUGGCUCUAGUCUGAAGACACCAUGGAAGAAUUCUACCUUCUAUCGGAACAUCAUCACUUGGAUUUAUGACCAGAAGAAUAUUUUGAUGUUGUUGCUUGUAUUCUAAGUGUAUUCGGAGUGAAUGAACUAAAAGAGAUCUACAUAUUUCAGAGAGCAUCCUGUUACUACAAAAACUGUUCACCAAAACAUCAGCUGGAAAUGCUUUUCUUCUGUAUGAUCAAUCCUGUGAGUUAUGUAUAACUGGCUUCAGAGAGGAGAGGAUGGAUGAGACAGUGGAACAGCUGCAAUCUCUUUGUUUGCUGUGUGAACACUUUUUUCCUUGAGCUUCUUGGAAUUGGUAUUUCAAGCAGAAUGAGAUACUGUCACCUGGAUCAGCAUCAGCUCUCUGCUCACGUGUAAUUCAUACCAGUAGAGAAAGCAGAAAUUUUGUCUUGAGAAAGUCACAGAAACAAGAAUCACCCAGGGUAUUUGUAUCCCAAUAUCUACAGCUUCCACUAUCUCUCCUUUCUCUAUCCUUUCCUAUGAAACCCCUUCAGAAUGAGUGAUGUGUGGAAAUGCUAAUUUGCUCAUCUUUUGUUUCUCUGCUUCCUGCUGUAUUGCAGGGGUCAAUGUAUUUGAUUAAUACAGUUACUAGUCUUUUGCAAAUCAGAAUCAUUAAGGUUGGAGAAGACUACUAAGAUCAUCUAGUUCACCCAUCAAACAUCUGUCAUAAUCUUCCUGACUUCAAGAGGUGAAAUGAAGUUGAAUCUGGUGAAAGUGUUUAGACAGUGUCGGGUUCAUGAGGUUCUUCAGAUUUGGAAAAUCUGCAUCUGUUUCUUAACUCUAGCAUUUCAGGUAUGUUUUCUGGGCACUGAACCUCUGGACCCACAUCCAGGAGAAGGGAUCUUGUAGUCCAGCUGCCCCAACUCAUUUAUGAAAGUAGUUUUGUUCCAGUAGCAUUUAUCUUUGUUACUUUUUUCCUACUGUGAUAUUUUAUGUCCAGCCCCGCAGAUUACCUGAUGUCAUUAAGCUACAGCCAUUGUAGCUUAAUUGUAUUGUUCCGUGGUGUUUCCAAUUUACAAGGAGAAUUAUUCAUAUUAAUAACUCUCCACUCUUCAUGUCUUAUCUUCCUAAGUCGAGUUGGAGGGCGAUACAGUGCAAGCCCUACUGUCAAAAUGCUUCUGUAUACUUUGAGGCAUUAAGUGAUUUGCCUUUGGUGAAUUCACAUGAAUUCAAGGCUUUUAGGGACUGACAUAAAAUCAGCCAGAAUUCUUCAGGUUUUCUUAAUUUCCCCUCAGGUCACAUCGUCCAGUUUUGCCUCUGAUAGCAGGCCUUGACCUAAACGCUUCUGCCUCUACUACUGCUGAGCCUUGUCUUGUUUCAGAGAGAGACAGCUUGUCCUUCUGUGUAGGGACAGAAUUUAUGCUGUUUACAGUGCAAGGGAAGGGUGGAGGUUGAGUUAAAAUAUUGCAUUACCGAUACCGCUUGAAUUCAGCAAACAUUUUUGGC
ensembl:lncRNA